rnacentral:rRNA from 1 species
AUUGAACGCUGGCGGCAUGCCUUACACAUGCAAGUCGAACGGUAACAGGUUAAGCUGACGAGUGGCGAACGGGUGAGUAAUGCAUCGGAACGUGCCCGGUCGGGGGGGAUAACGCAGCGAAAGUUGCGCUAAUACCGCAUACGAUCUGAGGAUGAAAGCGGGGGACCGUAAGGCCUCGCGCGAUCGGAGCGGCCGAUGUCAGAUUAGGUAGUUGGUGGGGUAAAGGCUCACCAAGCCAACGAUCUGUAGCUGGUCUGAGAGGACGACCAGCCACACUGGGACUAAGACACGGCCCAGACUCCUACGGGAGGCAGCAGUGGGGAAUUUUGGACAAUGGGCGAAAGCCUGAUCCAGCAACGCCGCGUGCAGGAAGAAGGCCUUCGGGUUGUAAACUGCUUUUGUACGGAGCGAAAAGGUCUCCUCUAAUACAGGGGGCUCAUGACGGUACCGUAAGAAUAAGCACCGGCUAACUACGUGCCAGCCGCCGCGGUAA